rnacentral:rRNA from 1 species
GAGUCAUUGGGACUCGAUUAAACCUAAAGGCGCAAUGAAAGUAAAGGUCCGCCUCGCGCGGACCGAGGGAGGAUGGGUCGGCCUACGUGUCGGCCCCGCACUCCCGGGGCGUCUCGUUCUCAUCGCGAGAAGAGGCGCACCCAGAGCGUACACGCUGGGACCCGAAAGAUGGUGAACUAUGCCUGGUCAGGACGAAGUCAGGGGAAACCCUGAUGGAGGUCCGUAGCGAUUCUGACGUGCAAAUCGAUCGUCGGAACUGGGUAUAGGGGCGAAAGACUAAUCGAACCUUCUAGUAGCUGGUUCCCUCCGAAGUUUCCCUCAGGAUAGCUGGCGCUCGCCUUUGCGAGUCUCAUUCGGUAAAGCGAAUGAUUAGAGGCAUUGGGGUC